rnacentral:rRNA from 1 species
GGGAAUUACUGGGCGUAAACGCACGCAGGCGGUUUGUUAAGUCAGAUGUGAAAUCCCCGAGCUUAACUUGGGAACUGCAUUUGAAACUGGCAAGCUAGAGUCUUGUAGAGGGGGGUAGAAUUCCAGGUGUAGCGGUGAAAUGCGUAGAGAUCUGGAGGAAUACCGGUGGCGAAGGCGGCCCCCUGGACAAAGACUGACGCUCAGGUGCGAAAGCGUGGGGAGCAAACAGGAUU